rnacentral:rRNA from 1 species
UACGUAGGGCGCAAGCGUUGUCCGGAAUUAUUGGGCGUAAAGAGCUCGUAGGCGGCUUGUCACGUCGGGUGUGAAAGCCCGGGGCCUAACCCCGGGUCUGCAUUCGAUACGGGCAGGCUAGAGUGUGGUAGGGGAGAUCGGAAUUCCUGGUGUAGCGGUGAAAUGCGCAGAUAUCAGGAGGAACACCGGUGGCGAAGGCGGGUCUCUGGGCCGAUACUGACGCUGAGGAGCGAAAGCGUGGGGAGCGAACAGG